rnacentral:rRNA from 1 species
AUUGAACGCUGGCGGCAUGCCUAACACAUGCAAGUCGAACGGUAACAGGCCUUCGGGCGCUGACGAGUGGCGGACGGGUGAGUAAUACGUAGGAAUCUGCCUUUUAGUGGGGGAUAACUCGGAGAAAUCCGGGCUAAUACCGCAUACGCACUACGGUGGAAAGCAGGGGAUCGCAAGACCUUGCGCUAAUAGAUGAGCCUACGUCGGAUUAGCUUGUUGGUAGGGUAAUGGCCACCAAGGCGACGAUCCGUAGCUGGUCUGAGAGGACGACCAGCCACACUGGGACUGAGACACGGCCCAGACUCCUACGGGAGGCAGCAGUGGGGAAUAUUGGACAAUGGGGGCAACCCUGAUCCAGCAAUGCCGCGUGUGUGAAGAAGGCCUCGG